GACGAACGCUGGCGGCGUGCUUAACACAUGCAAGUCGAACGGAAAGGCCCUGCUUUUGUGGGGUGCUCGAGUGGCGAACGGGUGAGUAACACGUGAGUAACCUGCCCUUGACUUUGGGAUAACUUCAGGAAACUGGGGCUAAUACCGGAUAGUAGCUCCUGCUGCAUGGUGGGGGUUGGAAAGUUUCGGCGGUGGGGGAUGGACUCGCGGCUUAUCAGCUUGUUGGUGGGGUAGUGGCUUACGAAGGCUUUGACGGGUAGCCGGCCUGAGAGGGUGACCGGCCACAUUGGGACUGAGAUACGGCCCAGACUCCUACGGGAGGCAGCAGUGGGGAAUAUUGCACAAUGGGCGGAAGCCUGAUGCAGCAACGCCGCGUGCGGGAUGACGGCCUUCGGGUUGUAAACCGCUUUCGCCUGUGACGAAGCGUUAGUGACGGUAAUGGGUAAAGAAGCACCGGCUAACUACGUG
rnacentral:rRNA from 1 species